UUUUAGUUCAAAAGAAAAAGCUGAAUUCUUUGAACUUUUCUCUUUGUCUGGAAAACGAACCUCUCCAAGCUCUCUUGCUACUUUUGCUUUCUAUUCCAAAAUCCUGCAGAUUUAAUCCCCUAAAUUCCUCCUUGCAGCUGUCUAAAGCGAUUGAACACCAAGACCUCCUUUUUCUCCGAUCAAUUUCUGUUUUCGAAGAAGGGGGUUAGAGGUAAAUUCGGAAUUUUGAGGAAACAUAGAAGAAGCAUUGAGUUGUUAUGUUAGAAUCCAAGGAUAUUUCAGAGGCCCCUCUGGAGCAGGUUUUAGACAUAGCUGAUACGGCUGAAGUCCCUGACACUGCAGCUGAGUAGUCUAGGUUGUUAGUUUUAUUUGUAUAGUUUAAUUCCUUUACUCUUUUCUUCUUUUGAAAGACUCUAUGCUAUAAGUAGAGCUUUAUUUCUUCUCUUGUAUUUUGGAUGACUGUACUGUAUAUACAUUUCAUCUGAAUUUCCACUCCUAACUACUUUACAUUAUUAUAACAUGU